rfam:Escherichia coli ISC11, WGS project CBWP01000000 data, contig: c9
AUUCCCUUUUUGCUCGCGAUCGCACAUAAUACGCCCCCCGGUUUGCACACCGGGAAUCCAGGAGAGUUCAUGUAC